UACGUAGGGUGCAAGCGUUAAUCGGAAUUACUGGGCGUAAAGCGUGCGCAGGCGGUUAUGUAAGACAGGUGUGAAAUCCCGGGGCUUAACCUUGGAACUGCAUUUGUGACUGCAUAGCUAGAGUACGGUAGAGGGGGAUGGAAUUCCGCGUGUAGGCAGUGAAAUGCGUAGAUAUGCGGAGGAACACCGAUGGCGAAGGCAAUCCCCUGGACCUGGUACUGACGCUCCAUGCACGAAAGCGUGGGGAGCAAACAGGAU
rnacentral:rRNA from 1 species